ensembl:lncRNA
GCCUUGCCCGCAUUCUCCACCACUGUGACGGGACGAGCCAACGACAGACACAGUGGGCGUGGCGUCAGGCCUCGGAGAGAGGUUUUUAUUUAACAGAAAAACCAAAACAAGGGGGAAUAAAGUGUCCAAAAGGGGAACAGUGUCCAAAACAACAGGGAAUCUGGUGUCCUCGUCGUGCUGCGGGGUUCGUGGGGGUCUGGCAGUGUUCAUGGAGGAAGGGUCCAGGUAAGGGGCGGAGUCCGGCGGCCGCACGCGCUCCCCUCUUCGGUCCGGGGCGCGAGGGGCGGCGGCUUCUUCUAGCGGCUUCAUCCUCCUCGCUGGCCGCGGCGCUUGCAGGGGAUGGACGGCCCGGCAUCCUGGCCCGACGGCCGUGUAGACGGGUGCGGUUCUCGACCGGACCGCGGGUCCGGCAGCUCACGUCUCUGGUGGCGCGGGAGUCCCCCAACGCACCCUUCCUGGACCCACGAGGACACCAGUGUGCAUGCACGGGGAAAGAGACCGGUCUCCCGAGGAGAGGCGCGUUGGGCUUUUAAACAGCGGCGGUGAUGAGGCUCCAUUUCCUUCAGGUGUGCCCCAUCACACGCCGCCAGCCCUGACUCGUCCAGCGCCCCUCCUCUCUCCCACACCCACUCCUAUCGGGAGCCUGGUGAAGGGCGGCGAUUUAGGACGGGGUGCCGGUGAUUAUCAGGGAGGAGGCAGCUGACUCGCCA